AGAACGAACGCUGGCGGCAUGCCUAACACAUGCAAGUCGAACGCUUCCGGGGCUUCGGUCGCGGAGGAGUGGCGCACGGGUGAGUAGCGCGUGGGAACCUGCCCUGUUGUGGGGGAUAACCGAGGGAAACUUCGGCUAAUACCGCAUACGCCCCGGGACUUGGUCUUCGGAUUAGGUCUGGGGGGAAAGAUUGAUCGCAGCAGGAGGGGCCCGCGUCGGAUUAGCUGGUUGGUGGGGUAACGGCUCACCAAGGCGAUGAUCCGUAGCUGGUCUGAGAGGAUGAUCAGCCACACUGGGACUGAGACACGGCCCAGACUCCUACGGGAGGCAGCAGUGGGGAAUAUUGGACAAUGGGGGCAACCCUGAUCCAGCAAUGCCGCGUGAGUGAUGAAGGCCUUAGGGUUGUAAAGCUCUUUCGCCCGCGACGAUGAUGACGGUAGCGGGAGAAGAAGCCCGGCUAACUCGUGCCAGCAGCCGCGGU
rnacentral:rRNA from 1 species